GAGCCGUUAGCUCAGGAGGUAGAGCAUCUGACUUUUAAUCAGAGGGUCGGGGGUUCGAGUCCCCCACGGCUCA
rnacentral:tRNA from 1 species